rnacentral:tRNA from 1 species
GCCCAGGUGGUGAAAUUGGUAGACACAAGGGAUUUAAAAUCCCUCGACUUUCGAGUCGUGCCGGUUCAAGUCCGGCCCGGGGCACCA